rnacentral:tRNA from 1 species
GGGGAUUUAGCUCAGCGGCAAAAGCGCCUGCCUUGCAAGCAGGAAGUCCUGAGUUCGAUCCCUG